GGAGCGGAGCGCGGCGGGGAGGCAGCGCCGCCCGCGCCCGCUGAGUGCGCCCCGGCUGCGAGCGCCCCGGCUGCGAGCCUGACAGGCAGAUAUGGUCCUGAGCAUCGUGAGCAUGUGACUUCAAAGAUGGACAGCUGGAUCCCUUUUAAGUUGUGAUUGGCCUUAAGCUGACUUAGAACCGCUGAAGAACUUAACAGGAUUUUUCUCAUUCCUGAUUUUAUGCCUAUCUAGUUGCCUCCCAACACCAGCUUAAUCAUGUAUGGAAGUGCUCGGUCAGUUGGUAAGGUUGAGCCAAGCAACCAGAGCCCAGGGCGUUCACCGAGGCUGCCAAGGUCACCACGAUUGGGCCAUCGUCGAACCAACAGUACAGGAGGUGGUUCUGGGAGUAGUACUGGGGGUGGCAGUGGGAAAACUCUUUCUAUGGAGAACAUUCAGUCCUUAAAUGCUGCCUACGCUACGUCUGGCCCUAUGUAUCUAAGUGACCAUGAGAAUGUUGGUGCAGACACCCCAAAGAGCACCAUGACCCUGGGCCGAUCUGGAGGGCGGCUGCCUUACGGUGUUAGGAUGACUGCAAUGGGUAGCAGCCCUAACAUUGCCAGUAGUGGAGUUGCCAGUGAUACUAUUGCAUUUGGAGACCACCAUCUCCCUCCAGUGAGUAUGGCAUCCACUGUGCCUCACUCGCUGCGCCAGGCCAGGGAUAACACCAUAAUGGAUCUGCAGACCCAACUGAAGGAGGUAUUGAGGGAAAAUGAUCUGCUUCGCAAAGAUGUGGAGGUGAAAGAAAGCAAGCUGAGUUCUUCCAUGAACAGUAUCAAGACCUUCUGGAGUCCUGAGCUAAAGAAGGAACGAGCUCUGAGGAAAGAUGAAGCUUCAAAAAUCACCAUUUGGAAGGAGCAAUACAGAGUUUUGCAAGAAGAAAAUCAGCACAUGCAGAUGACUAUCCAGGCUCUCCAAGACGAGCUUCGGAUCCAGCGCGACCUGAACCAGCUGUUCCAGCAGGACAGCAGCACUAGAACCAGCGAGCCCUUUGUGGCGGAGCUGACGGAGGAGAACUUCCAGCGGCUGCAUGCGGAGCACGAGCGCCAGGCCAAGGAACUCUUCCUGCUACGUAAGACCUUAGAAGAGAUGGAACUGCGCAUUGAGACGCAGAAGCAGACCUUAAAUGCGCGUGAUGAGUCCAUCAAAAAGCUGCUGGAGAUGCUGCAGAGUAAAGGCCUGUCAGCAAAGGCCACCGAGGAAGAUCACGAGCGGACAAGGCGGUUGGCUGAGGCAGAGAUGCACGUGCACCACUUGGAGAGCCUGCUGGAACAGAAGGAGAAGGAAAACAACAUGCUGAGAGAGGAGAUCCAUCGUCGAUUUGAAAACGCUCCUGACACAGCCAAGACAAAGGCUCUGCAAACUGUUAUUGAGAUGAAGGAUUCAAAAAUUUCUUCCAUGGAGCGUGGCCUCCGGGACUUGGAAGAGGAGAUUCAGAUGUUGAAGUCAAAUGGGGCUCUGAGCACAGAGGAACGUGAAGAGGAGAUGAAGCAGAUGGAGGUGUACAGAAGUCAUUCCAAAUUCAUGAAAAAUAAGGUAGAGCAACUGAAGGAAGAGCUAAGUGCCAAAGAGGUUCAAGGGGAGGACCUGAAAAAAAGAGUGGCUGGUCUCCAGACCGAGAUUGGCCAAGUGAAACAGGAGCUGUCACGCAAAGACACCGAGCUGCUGGCCUUGCAGACCAAGCUGGAGACCCUCACCAAUCAGUUCUCUGACAGCAAGCAGCAUAUUGAAGUCCUGAAAGAGUCUCUUACAGCUAAGGAGCAAAGAGCUGCCAUCCUGCAGACAGAGGUGGAUGCGCUGCGAUUGCGUCUGGAAGAGAAGGAGACUAUGCUAAAUAAGAAGACAAAGCAGAUUCAGGACAUGGCAGAGGAGAAGGGGACUCAAGCAGGAGAGAUCCAUGACCUCAAGGACAUGUUGGAGGUGAAGGAACGCAAAGUUAAUGUGCUUCAGAAGAAGAUUGAAAAUCUUCAAGAGCAGUUGAGAGACAAGGAGAAGCAAAUGAGCAGCUUAAAGGACCGAGUGAAGUCUUUGCAAGCAGACACCACAAACACCGACACCGCCUUGACCACGUUGGAGGAAGCACUGGCAGAAAAGGAAAGGACCAUUGAGCGCCUAAAGGAGCAGCGUGACAGAGAUGAACGAGAAAAGCAAGAGGAGAUUGACAACUACAAAAAAGACAUCAAGGACCUGAAAGAGAAAGUUGGCAUUUUACAAGGGGAUCUCACAGAGAAAGAGACAUCCUUACUGGAUCUGAAGGAGCAUGCUUCAUCCUUAGCUUCAUCAGGGCUGAAGAAAGAUUCAAGACUCAAGACACUAGAAAUUGCAUUGGAACAGAAAAAGGAAGAAUGCUUGAAGAUGGAAACUCAGCUGAAGAAGCACCCCGAAGUUUUAUUGAGUCAUCCAUCCAAGCCAGCUCAUGAGGCAACCCUGGAGGCUCGGGCCAGCCCAGAGCUGAGUGACCGCAUGCAGCAGCUGGAGAGGGAGGUGACUCGCUUCAGGGAAGAGUCCAGCAAGGCUCAGGCUGAAGUGGAUCGGCUCCUGGAGAUCCUGAAAGAGAUGGAAAAUGAGAAGAAUGAUAAGGAUAAGAAGAUAGCAGAACUGGAGAGCCUCACCUCAAGGCAAGUUAAAGACCAAAAUAAAAAAGUGGCAAAUCUGAAGCACAAAGAGCAAGUGGAGAAAAAGAAGAGUGCACAGAUGCUGGAGGAGGCCAGGAGACGAGAGGAUAAUCUUAAUGACAGCUCCCAGCAGCUUCAGGACAAUCUCCGUAAAAAGGAUGAUCGGAUCGAAGAGUUGGAAGAGGCACUCAGAGAGAGUGUUCAGAUAACUGCAGAGCGGGAAAUGGUGCUAGCACAAGAGGAGUCAGCCAGGAUCAAUGCUGAGAAACAGGUAGAAGAGCUGAUGAUGGCCAUGGAGAAAGUUAAGCAGGAGCUGGAGUCGAUGAAAGCCAAAUUGUCCUCUACACAACAGUCUUUGGCCGAGAAGGAAACCCACUUAACCAACCUCCGAGCUGAAAGAAGGAAGCAUUUGGAGGAAGUGCUGGAAAUGAAACAAGAAGCCCUUCUUGCUGCCAUUAGUGAAAAAGAUGCCAAUAUUGCUCUGCUAGAACUUUCUUCCUCUAAGAAGAAGACCCAAGACGAAGUGGCCGCGCUGAAACGAGAGAAGGAUCGUCUUGUGCAACAGCUCAAGCAGCAGACUCAGAACCGUAUGAAGCUGAUGGCUGACAACUAUGAGGAUGAUCACCUCAAAUCCUCAUCCCACUCCAACCAAACCAACCACAAGCCCUCCCCUGACCAGAUAAUUCAGCCCCUCCUAGAACUUGAUCAGAACCGCAGCAAGUUGAAGUUGUACAUUGGACAUCUGACAGCCCUCUGCCAUGACCGUGACCCCCUGAUUCUGCGUGGACUCACCCCACCUGCUUCCUACCACCUGGAUGAUGACCGGGCAGCUUGGGAGAAAGAGCUGCAGAAGAUGACCCAGGAGCAGCUUCGUGAGGAGCUAGAGAAGGGCGAGAAGGAAAGCGCCGAGCUGCAGGAGUUUGCCAACGCUAUCUUACAGCAGAUAGCAGAUCACUGCCCUGACAUCCUGGAGCAAGUCGUUAAUGCGCUGGAGGAGUCAUCGUGACCUCGGCCACAGCCCCGCCGGAGCAGCACACCAGCGGCCGAGCCCAGUCAGUCCAAGGAGCCGGGAGGGCAGAGAGGAAUGUGGAAGACAGAAAAUGGAAAAGGAAACUUCUGCUGCACACUGACAAAGGAAACAAAAGCAAAAAAAAGACCCUCUAAAAACUACCUGUUCUCUCGGUUCUGCCAGCCUGUGAUGAAUCAGUCACCUUUGCGUUCAUCUUCUCACUGCCUUUCUACUCCAGAAUCCAAUUCCCCAUUGACUUUGUUGAUGGUGACUUCUGGUUAUAGCUGUGCAGAGCUCCUCCAAGCCUACUGAGCAAAGAAGAGGGGCUCCACUGAACACAAGAAGCUCUAGCUCUCCAUGAGGUUGCAGAAGGGUAGCCCUUGCCUUUCAUUCAUUUAUUGCUGUUUUCUCUUUCUUCUGUUUUUUUUUUUUUUUGGGGGGGGGCUGUGUUUUAUUUUGUUUUGGGGUUUUGUUGUUGGGGUUUUGUUUGGGUUUGUUGUUUUUUUUCAUCAAAGCUGAAAGCCUGAAUUUCAUAGUGCUAAAGUCAAACCUGAGCAUGCUCUGAUUAUGUCUCAUGACUAGCCAGCAUCAGCUAGCUAGCUCAGGUCUUGCUGCCUGCCUCAAUAUUUCUUAUGUUCUUAAAUGACAGAGAGAGGAAAGGAAAGUUUUCCCCUGUUUAUGCCUCUUAGUCACUUCAUCUAGCAGCUGGGAAACCAGGUAGGCUUACUGGUACUUUCUGUUUACUUAACUGUGAUAUUUCUUGUUCACUGAUCUGACUCUUACAUGCUAAGUGAGGCGUUUUUUCAGGUAACUCUUUUAUGUUGACUUCCCUCUUUUUAGCAGAGAUUUCUCAUCGUGGCUCUGUGUCUUCUAGAUUCUUCUUUAUAUUAUAGAGAGCUCUCUCUCUUCAGGCAGGUGUGGUCUACAGGUCAGCCUUGCAGCUUUCACUUAGGGAGUUAGUCCAUUGCCAGUUUUUCAGGCUCUAGCUUCAUGAACAUUGGCUGCCAGCAGAAUAGUAGAGGAGAAAAUUGCAUCCUUUAGGUUUAAAGUGUAAUUUUAAAGCUAAGUUAGGUAAAUUGGUAAUACAGUACUUACUACAACUGCCAUUUAAUUUAUUCUGGUUUAGCUUAGGUUGGCAGGGAGUGAGUUCCAGUUCAGAGCAAUAAACCGUUCUGGUGAAGAGGAGCAUCUCUGCUGGAGCUGGCACCCAGCCGAGUAGAUAGGUGUAAAAUCACAGCUUUAGUUAAAGCAGUGCAAUUCUUAUACGUACAAGAGAGGCCUUAGUCUUGUUCCCAUCCAUCUCUGAUGUUCAUUGAGGCCCCUGCUGAUAGGUAAUCCGACCUGAAGCAGCAGGGUGGUUUGUCCUUGUAGCAGCAAGGCAGAAUCCUAUUUUACAAGUAGGCCUUGGGUGUUGGUUCUUGGACUGUGCAUUACAGGGGAGAGAUGUUUUUUUCCUGCCUGCCAGUGGUUAUGUGUGUCUGGGGGCAUCUGCAGGACAGAACCCUUUAACACAUCCCCCUGUGCUCCUUAAAGGAGUCGCUCCCAUUUAGCUAUCUCAUAUUAAGAGAACAAGGGGAGGGCAAAAGGAGACCAAAUAUCAACACAGCAGUGGAAGCAGUGGUAGUUUUCUAGUCACUAGUUAAUUAUGACUCUUCCCAUGCCCAACCUGCAGUUAAUUCCAUGUGACUUACUGCAUCUCGAGCUUAACCACUCAACCAUUGUGCUAAGAAAGAUGUCCCAAGCCCUUUCAGGAGAGCUGCAUUUCUCACUCUUGCAGACCCACAGCACAGCACUCCCCGUAGGUCUUUCACACCUUAUUUUUGUGUUUCGAAGUGGUUUGACUGCUUCCAAUAGAAAGAAGAUCAGCAGAUGUUUGAGCGAGGGAAGAUGCAUCCUGCCUUCUGUCCAAACAGGCACUGAAAAUUGGACAAAAGUGAAGCCUUUAUAUACCUGUAGACUCUUACUGAAAAUUGACUCAUUAAAACCAAAUCACAUCCCAGUUCCUUCUGUUGCAGUGAUUCAGCAGAAGGAACUGGAUCCAUAGUCGUGGUGUCCACUAGGAAAACAAUAUGUGAGUCUCCAAAGAAGAGGUGAUUCACAGUUUUCCCGUGUUUUGAGCUGCCAGUGCUUUGCCAGUCGGGAAACACAGCUUUAGUCCUUGCUCUAGUAGCAGCCUGUGUCUGAAGCUCUUUUUGUCAUGGAUGAGGAGAGCAAUGGGAACCUGAAUGUGCAGAAGGAGGGGGGGACACCGGAUGGCGUGUAGACAGUGACUGUACAUACCACUGAGCCGUGCCUCAUCCCAGAACCACCCCUUUGGUCCCAUUACUUGAGUCAGCACCUUUGGAUGGGAGCUGUUGUUUUGAAAUCUUGCCUCUUGCUUUUUUUCAGUCGCCCCUAAUUACUCACUCAAGGAAUUUAAUGCCGCCUGUAAAAGCAUCAGAGCCAUCAGCCUAACAUCAUCUCGCCACCGCCACCACUCCUGACUAUCUCAUUAACUUAUAUGGUCAAAUCUCCAGCUGCCCUGGUUCCCUGCUGUAAAACAAUCCCUCCUCUGUGAGAAGCUGUGGAAUUUCCCUUAUCGAUGGUUCAAAUGACUCCUGCUUGUAAACCUCUUACUGAGAUGUUCCUUGAUAGUGUUUCUGCUGCAGGCAGGGGGAGGGGAUGGGAGUGAGGGCUGCUCAUUUGGAUGUCAUUUCAGUUCUCUUGCUUUGCUGCGCUGCUCACACGUGGCAGGAAGGUGUUGGUUCUUCUGCAUCUUUAUCUCAGCCCGUGGCUGUGUUUCUAGAGUUGGAAGUGCCCCAGCCAAAGGCAGGGUGCUGUGGUGACGGCGUGUGCAGGAUCCUUGUGUCAGCAGCCAGGUGAAUCUCACUGUUUACACAUCUCCCGGGCUCUUCCCUCGGAGGAUUUGUCAAGCCUGGCUGGUUUUCACGCUCGCCAUUUGGCCUUUUAUCUCCCAGCCACACACCUGCUGUUCCUCCCAUCUGGAUUGUUGGGCUUUUGCAGUUUUGCUCAUUAGCCACUGUUAUCUUCUAGGGCUUUUUAGGCUUCCCGUCUUAAACAGGGAUCUUAGACCUCAGGAAAGUGCUUGCAGGGAGAGAGCAGAUCUCAGUUAGGAACAGACUUGAUCCAACUUGAUCUCAGUUGAACUAUUUCAGGUAAUCUCUCUGAUUCUGUGUCGACAGAGAUCUUGUCACGGUGAGUAGCUUGAGGACCUGUGUGACUUGGGAAGUGCUGCUGGCCACGAUUUAAUGCUGAGUGAGACCAGCCAAAGCUGCUUCUUUGUGCUGCUCGGGAGUGCCACACCAUUGGCCUUAGGGCAACGAAGGGAUUUGGUGAGCCUAAUCCAUCACGAAACUGCACAUCAGGCACAUGGCAGCAGGGCCACACAUAAUGCGAGGCUCACCCAGCUGCCUGAGCCACCACUGCUCUUCUAACAUCCUAAACCUGAAGUGUCAGGGGCCAGGCACAGUGCAGUUUCUUAGCACAGCAGUCCUGCAGUGCAGCAGCUCUAGGAAAUCAGGGGCCCUUCCCAGGGAGCCUGCUGAAACUUAGUUAUUCUUCUCCUGUUGAGUGAAGUUCCCAUUUGCUACACUUCUCAUUGCUUUAAUUUGCCUUUCACUUUUUUUUCUUACUUCAAGCUGUUGCUUGUAAGAACCUGAAAGAUAUAAGGACUUAGAGAGCUGUCUGUAGGAAAUCAGAGGCCGUUUUAGCUGGCUUUGGGCUAAAAAGAUAGCUCGAGCCCAAAGCCCUUGUGCAGUGUAGAAGCUGACACCUCAGCCAUGCUCGUUCGUGGUUCCACAUAUCCAAGUACAGUUUCCACAAUAUCCAAGUACAUAUUUUCUUCUGAUUCCAUCUUCCCAUAAAACACUAACAGGACAUUACAGCCCUAGAAUGUCAGGGUGAGGACAUGAGCACUCUUUGUGUUUGGGAGAAGAAUUGCCUGGCGUGCUCCCAGACCAAGCUCUAAGCUUCUGGUAUUCUCCUUCAUUUUUUGACUGCCUUUAACCAGCUUUCCCUCUAGAAAAUGCCAAACCCUCUUUGGAGUACCUGAUUUUUGCCAAGUGGGGGGCACAGAAGGUGAAGGCCUAAUGUGAUGCACUACAUUGUGUGCCCUUUCUAGCUGCAGAGCCAGAAUCUCCCUUCUCUAGCAGAUCCACUGGCACCUUGGGGCUCUCUGCGUUUUGCACAAGGGAGCUUGUAGGCAUAGCCCUGGUUUUAUGAACCAAAGGGGCACUUCUCCUCCUGUGCCCUGCAAGUCUCACUCGUUCUGCUGCUAGUGCUCAGCUUGUUAGGAAGUUUCUAGAGCUGAUACAGGUUGGCAGGGUUGAGUCCUCGCUUCUCUACUGUUGCCAGCUGUCACGGAGGGCAAAAGCUGUGGAGUCAGGCGCCGCGAAAGCAGAAGGUCACUGCGUGAGUUACACAUCACUCCUCACCUGACGCCGAGGGGACGCAGAGGCAAACAGCACAAGGAGGCCUCUGGUGCUUAAAGGAGGCCUCUGCUCAGCUCAGCACCCGCACUGGAAGAGGGAAGCGGAGAGGACGCAGAAGGCUGUGGAUAACUAACACUGCCCCAGCGAAGCCAGCGGGGUGGGAAGUGAUUUUUGGUGCGUGCCGUGCUCAGUGCCCUCUCCUGCGUGCCCAGGAUCGAAGGACAGGGGGUUCUCAGUUUGUGGUUUCUUGGUGUUCAGAAUGGCUCAGAUCAGCCCUUUGUUCAAGGACUGGGGAGGAAAAGAGUUGCACGGAGAGGAGCAGCAGCUGUAGGAGAUCCACCACAGGAAAGCCAUACCCUGGUGCACCUUCCAGGCUGUGGAGCUGACAUGCAGCUCUGGAUAUUGAAUCCCUUGUGGUCACUUGAGGAACUCCCCGGAGAUGCACUGUGGAGGACCAGGGGGGCAGAAGUAAGCCAGACAGAGGCCACUGAACAUGAAGAUGGAGCUUGUCAUCUAGCACCACAGCACACACCAGCCAGCACUGUGGGCAGUCUCCAUCUGACCUCGGGAGCACCCCCUCAGCCAGCAGCAGUCUUGAGAUGGGCAAUCAUUCCCUGGACCCUGCUGGCACAUCACCAAGGGAAGCCAAACCAACGUCACACAAUCGCUGCACUGCCCUUUGUGCUGGGAGAGGGGCAGAGCACGCUUGGAGAUGUCCACCUCCAAAGGCAGCAGCUUCUGCCCAGCCCUGGAAGCACUGCCUGGCUCCUGUCUCUUCUCAGUAGGGUGUCCCUGGAACCAGGAUGGAUUUUACUUGAUGAUGUCAAGCGAGAUGAAUCCCGGUUUAAUUGACCGUGGGUGAAAUCGCACUUUGAUGGUUAAUAUUAUACUUGAGGCUGGGAAAAGUACUGCAAGAUCAUAGCAAUUAGAGCUGGAAAUGAUUCAAGUCAUCUAAUUUAUUUCCUCUCUCCCCCCUCAGUGUCCCUGCCAGGGAUGGGGGCAGUAAGGUUCCCAACAAUACAUCUCUCUGUGUGUAGUCCUGUCCUGUCUCCCUGACUCAAGGAGCAGAGCAUCCACGUGUCCCUUGGGGAGACAAUUCCACCACUUAAGAGAUGUCAACAUUAGACAUUUUGUCAGAAGUUUAGUCUAUAUUUCCUUCUGUGGAGUGCCACAAAUUCUCAGGUCAUGAGUUUUAUGCCUCAAGGCAACUGGCUGCUUCCCAGGAGCGCAGUGGCUGGGAAUAAGGUGGUGCUGUUCUUUGUUUGCAGGGACAGGUAGAGAACAUGGGGGUGGGUCAGUAAAGGCUUUCACACCUGU